GCAAACUUGGUCAUUUAGAGGAAGUAAAAGUCGUAACAAGGUUUCCGUAGGUAAGUUUUAUCAGACGGGGCACCUAAAGCCCUUCUAUUCUCAAUGUCACAGACCUAUAUAACUAACAAACUUUUAGGUGAACCUGCGGAAGGAUCAUUACCGAGAUAGGGUCUCUUCGGAGCCCGACCUCCCAACCCCAUGUUUAUGUGUACCUUUGUGUUGCUUCGGCGGGACCGUCUCUCUGUCGGAGAGACCGCCGGGGGGUCGUGCAAUGCAAACGCCCCCGGGCCCGUCGCCCGCCGACGGCCUCCAACCACAAAUUCUUGUCCUAAACUGUGUCUUCUAAGUGAAAAACAAGCAAAGAAAACAAAACUUUCAACAACGGAUCUCUUGGUUCUGGCAUCGAUGAAGAACGCAGC
rnacentral:misc_RNA from 1 species